rnacentral:rRNA from 1 species
GGUUUCUUGUUUAUAUAGGAAAUUUGGCCUGCCCACUGAAGUAUUUUGAAGGGCCGCAGUAUUUUGACUGUGCAAAGGUAGCAUAAUCAUUAGUCUUUUAAUUGAGGACUUGUAUGAAUGGUUGGACGAGGCAAAUUCUGUUUUAUAAUGAUGGUAUUGAAUUUUGAUUUUGGGUAAAAAUACUCAAAUAAUAUUAAGGGACGAGAAGACCCUAUAGAGUUUAAUAAGUAUUUUCUUUUAAUUGAGUUUAUAUGAAAUUUUUGGUUAAGGGGAUUAUUUAUUUAAUUGGGGUGAUUAAAAGAUAAAAGAAACUCUUUUUUAGUUUAAAUAUAAAUUGAUAAAAUAAUGAUCCAUUAUAAAUGAUUAAAAGAUUAAAUUACCUUAGGGAUAACAGCAUAAUUUCUUUUGAGAGUUCUUAUCAAAAAGGAAGAUUGUGACCUCGAUGUUGGAUUAAGAUUUAAAUUGGGUGUAGAUGUUCAAUUAUUAGGUCUGUUCGACCUUUAAAAUCUUACA